rnacentral:rRNA from 1 species
AUGGCAUUCUAUUCGGAUCAUCAGGCUUAUGCGAGCAACACUACAAACAACAUGAAAAGAAUUCAAGAACUGAUAAGUAAGAUUUCCCAUCGAUUAGAUGAUUUAGCUCGGCAGCGAGAAGUAGUUUUUGUGGAUAGUCCUAGCUCUUAUGAUCCUUAUUCUGGAGGCCAUCCUUAUGUUGCUCCUACUUGCCAUAUUUGUGGAUUUCAGGGCCAUUCGCUCGCUGAAUGUCAGCGUGGUUACUCUCGCCCUCCAGAUUGUUUUGGCAUGAGCUUUGCUCAAGAGCAUAGCUCAUACCAAAACAAUUACUCACAUGGGUGGCCUGAGAACCCGAAUAUGUCAUUUAGGAGCAACAACCCUGAGAUCUUAUCAUUUGCCUCUAGUAAUCCAAUGCAGGGAUUUAGGUAUGAAGAGGAGAGCCACAACUAUGCUCCACAACAGUUUUAUUCACCUCCUACUCAUAUACCGCAGCACCAGGAGAUGUGUCCAAUGGAGUUAAAUGGUCCUCCAUUUGGUCAACCAACAACUUCAGCACCUAAUGAGUCGGUAGAGCAAUCUCAUGUGCAAGUGCCCACACAAGAUGAGUUCGAUGACAUAGACAAACUCACACUUUUGAGUCUCGAGUUCACUUGGAGUGCCGAGGAUGAUCCUAUUAGGAAGGUUAUACUAGAGGAAAUGAAGAGGAUCAAGAGUGGAAAAGAGCUAGUGGAAGAAGUAAGGAAGAUUGAGAAGAGCAUCAAUGCUGGCAGCACUAUUUCUUCACAACUAGAGCUGAGUAUUUCUGGGAUAUCCUUUGAUACAUGUGAGGCUCCAACACCGUCACAUCCAGCUGAGCAAGAUAGAAAAAGUCCAGAGGAAGAGAGACCUUAG